rnacentral:rRNA from 1 species
GGUUAAGCGACUAAGCGUACACGGUGGAUGCCCUGGCAGUCAGAGGCGAUGAAGGACGUGCUAAUCUGCGAUAAGCGUCGGUAAGGUGAUAUGAACCGUUAUAACCGGCGAUUUCCGAAUGGGGAAACCCAGUGUGAUUCGUCACACUAUCAUUAACUGAAUCCAUAGGUUAAUGAGGCGAACCGGGGGAACUGAAACAUCUAAGUACCCCGAGGAAAAGAAAUCAACCGAGAUUCCCCCAGUAGCGGCGAGCGAACGGGGAGCAGCCCAGAGCCUGAAUCAGUGUGUGUGUUAGUGGAAGCGUCUGGAAAGGCGCGCGAUACAGGGUGACAGCCCCGUACACAAAAAUGCACAUGCUGUGAGCUCGAUGAGUAGGGCGGGACACGUGGUAUCCUGUCUGAAUAUGGGGGGACCAUCCUCCAAGGCUAAAUACUCCUGACUGACCGAUAGUGAACCAGUACCGUGAGGGAAAGGCGAAAAGAACCCCGGCGAGGGGAGUGAAAAAGAACCUGAAACCGUGUACGUACAAGCAGUGGGAGCACAGAGCAAUCUGUGUGACUGCGUACCUUUUGUAUAAUGGGUCAGCGACUUAUAUUCUGUAGCAAGGUUAACCGAAUAGGGGAGCCGAAGGGAAACCGAGUCUUAACUGGGCGUUAAGUUGCAGGGUAUAGACCCGAAACCCGGUGAUCUAGCCAUGGGCAGGUUGAAGGUUGGGUAACACUAACUGGAGGACCGAACCGACUAAUGUUGAAAAAUUAGCGGAUGACUUGUGGCUGGGGGUGAAAGGCCAAUCAAACCGGGAGAUAGCUGGUUCUCCCCGAAAGCUAUUUAGGUAGCGCCUCGUGAAUUCAUCUCCGGGGGUAGAGCACUGUUUCGGCAAGGGGGUCAUCCCGACUUACCAACCCGAUGCAAACUGCGAAUACCGGAGAAUGUUAUCACGGGAGACACACGGCGGGUGCUAACGUCCGUCGUGAAGAGGGAAACAACCCAGACCGCCAGCUAAGGUCCCAAAGUCAUGGUUAAGUGGGAAACGAUGUGGGAAGGCCCAGACAGCCAGGAUGUUGGCUUAGAAGCAGCCAUCAUUUAAAGAAAGCGUAAUAGCUCACUGGUCGAGUCGGCCUGCGCGGAAGAUGUAACGGGGCUAAACCAUGCACCGAAGCUGCGGCAGCGACGCUUAUGCGUUGUUGGGUAGGGGAGCGUUCUGUAAGCCUGUGAAGGUGUACUGUGAGGUAUGCUGGAGGUAUCAGAAGUGCGAAUGCUGACAUAAGUAACGAUAAAGCGGGUGAAAAGCCCGCUCGCCGGAAGACCAAGGGUUCCUGUCCAACGUUAAUCGGGGCAGGGUGAGUCGACCCCUAAGGCGAGGCCGAAAGGCGUAGUCGAUGGGAAACAGGUUAAUAUUCCUGUACUUGGUGUUACUGCGAAGGGGGGACGGAGAAGGCUAUGUUGGCCGGGCGACGGUUGUCCCGGUUUAAGCGUGUAGGCUGGUUUUCCAGGCAAAUCCGGAAAAUCAAGGCUGAGGCGUGAUGACGAGGCACUACGGUGCUGAAGCAACAAAUGCCCUGCUUCCAGGAAAAGCCUCUAAGCAUCAGGUAACAUCAAAUCGUACCCCAAACCGACACAGGUGGUCAGGUAGAGAAUACCAAGGCGCUUGAGAGAACUCGGGUGAAGGAACUAGGCAAAAUGGUGCCGUAACUUCGGGAGAAGGCACGCUGAUAUGUAGGUGAAGUCCCUCGCGGAUGGAGCUGAAAUCAGUCGAAGAUACCAGCUGGCUGCAACUGUUUAUUAAAAACACAGCACUGUGCAAACACGAAAGUGGACGUAUACGGUGUGACGCCUGCCCGGUGCCGGAAGGUUAAUUGAUGGGGUUAGCGCAAGCGAAGCUCUUGAUCGAAGCCCCGGUAAACGGCGGCCGUAACUAUAACGGUCCUAAGGUAGCGAAAUUCCUUGUCGGGUAAGUUCCGACCUGCACGAAUGGCGUAAUGAUGGCCAGGCUGUCUCCACCCGAGACUCAGUGAAAUUGAACUCGCUGUGAAGAUGCAGUGUACCCGCGGCAAGACGGAAAGACCCCGUGAACCUUUACUAUAGCUUGACACUGAACAUUGAGCCUUGAUGUGUAGGAUAGGUGGGAGGCUUUGAAGUGUGGACGCCAGUCUGCAUGGAGCCGGCCUUGAAAUACCACCCUUUAAUGUUUGAUGUUCUAACGUGGACCCGUAAUCCGGGUUGCGGACAGUGUCUGGUGGGUAGUUUGACUGGGGCGGUCUCCUCCUAAAGAGUAACGGAGGAGCACGAAGGUUGGCUAAUCCUGGUCGGACAUCAGGAGGUUAGUGCAAUGGCAUAAGCCAGCUUGACUGCGAGCGUGACGGCGCGAGCAGGUGCGAAAGCAGGUCAUAGUGAUCCGGUGGUUCUGAAUGGAAGGGCCAUCGCUCAACGGAUAAAAGGUACUCCGGGGAUAACAGGCUGAUACCGCCCAAGAGUUCAUAUCGACGGCGGUGUUUGGCACCUCGAUGUCGGCUCAUCACAUCCUGGGGCUGAAGUAGGUCCCAAGGGUAUGGCUGUUCGCCAUUUAAAGUGGUACGCGAGCUGGGUUUAGAACGUCGUGAGACAGUUCGGUCCCUAUCUGCCGUGGGCGCUGGAGAACUGAGGGGGGCUGCUCCUAGUACGAGAGGACCGGAGUGGACGCAUCACUGGUGUUCGGGUUGUCAUGCCAAUGGCACUGCCCGGUAGCUAAAUGCGGAAGAGAUAAGUGCUGAAAGCAUCUAAGCACGAAACUUGCCCCGAGAUGAGUUCUCCCUGACCCUUUAAGGGUCCUGAAGGAACGUUGAAGACGACGACGUUGAUAGGCCGGGUGUGUAAGCGCAGCGAUGCGUUGAGCUAACCGGUACUAAUGAACCGUGAGGCUUAACCUU